rnacentral:lncRNA from 1 species
GAUAGCACUUUAUUUUCAUUAAGAGCUGUAUAUAAUCUCAGCCUAGGUUUAUUGUCUCCCAAUCCAACCAAAACUUUUUGUUUCUCAGUGAUUAUGUAUCUGAUAUCAUUAGCUUCCAGAUUCCAAAAUAUUAGGUAUGUUUAUGUAUUAAUGUGCAUGAAUAAAAAGAGAGGAGGCGCCAUUAUCUAAUAUUGCCUCAAGUGACAAAAUAUCUAGAUCCGGCGCUGACGGCAUUCGUAGUUAAGCAAAUAUCACUUUAUGGAGUAUAAUAAUGAAAUUAAAUAGAUUAUUCGUCCCAGAUUUUCUGGGACAGUCCCAAUUUUUGGUACAUUGCGCUGUAUCAAUAAACGUCCCGAAUUUUGAAAUCCAUUCCAUUUUUAAGACGAAAAUUUUUCAUUUCCGCACAAAAUCAAUUAUAUAUGAUAAAUGUUCGAAAUGGAGAUUUAAAACAUGUCAAGUCAAAUCAGAAAAGAGCUUCAGCAAGGCGUUGACACGAAAAUAAACGCAAAGAAGAACGAUGUCAUUGAGUUCAUAUUCCACGCGCGCGUUUGCGUUUGUAGAAGAAAUCUGCUUCAGCAAAUCAUUACUUCCCUUAACUCCCCAGAUAACGUCAUAUGUGCAUGAUGCAUGACAUCACAUUUGUUUAAUCGUUUGCACACAACAUGAACAUCCGGGUCCAGUAGCUGGUUGGUGUCUCUCUAUUUUAUCGAAACCACUUCGAUAGUUAUAUUUUUUGAUAUAUUUAAAAAGUUAUACCAUGAAGUAAGGGAAUUAAUAAUCCAAGAAACAAAUACGAAUUCUGGAAGGCUAGUGAUAUCCCAAUUUUGUUUAUUUUUAUUAGCAAAAGGCACAUUAUGUAUAUUAUCUUCCUCUCUCUCAGUCCAUCUGUGGAAAAGUUGAUCCACUAUGUGCUAAGCUAGAAAUGAGUAAUGGGCUGGACAGCCAUCCUAUUGCAACCAUAUAAGUUUUGUAUCCAGUAGGACAUUUUCCUAAAAUGUAUCCUCUAAAUGCUGAUGGAUGAUCACUUGCUCCAAAUUUUGUAAAAAUUAUAGAAAAAAAAAUUUUCAAGUAUGCUCUUGAUUCAGUCUUCUAGUUAAUAUAUAUAACAAACUGUAAGUUUCAUUAAGAUGAUUAUAUAAGCUGAUUAAUGAUGUGUC